AGUGAACACUGGCGGUAGGCCUAACACAUGCAAGUCGAACGGCAGCACAGGAGAGCUUGCUCUCUGGGUGGCGAGUGGCGGACGGGUGAGGAAUACAUCGGAAUCUACUCUGUCGUGGGGGAUAACGUAGGGAAACUUACGCUAAUACCGCAUACGACCUACGGGUGAAAGCAGGGGACCUUCGGGCCUUGCGCGAUUGAAUGAGCCGAGGUCGGAUUAGCGAGUUGGCGGGGUAAAGGCCCACCAAGGCGACGAUCCGUAGCUGGUCUGAGAGGAUGAUCAGCCACACUGGAACUGAGACACGGUCCAGACUCCUACGGGAGGAAGCAGUGGGGAAUAUUGGACAAUGGGCGCAAGCCUGAUCCAGCCAUACCGCGUGGGUGAAGAAGGCCUUCGGGUUGUAAAGCCCUUUUGUUGGGAAAGAAAUCCAGCUGGCUAAUACCCGGUUGGGAUGACGGUACCCAAAGAAUAAGCACCGGCUAACUUCGUGCCAGCCGCCGCCGUAA
rnacentral:rRNA from 1 species